ensembl:lncRNA novel transcript
CUUCUUGCAGUUAGAUCACAUGACUGAGUUCUAGUAAUGAAUACAAUUUCUGGGACAGAGCUUUAAAGAAGGAGGUGUUCCACCUCCAAGCUCUCAUUUUUCUUUCACUGACUGGAGGCAGAUGAUGAAUUUGAAGCCCUGACAAAGAGAAGGCAAAAUCAGUUUGUGUCCCUGAGUUGCUAAGUGGAGAAGAAACGUCCACCAACCAGGAAACACCUGCCUCCAACUGUUAAUAGGUCUGUGAAAUGUGCUUUGUUUCUGGUCAGCAUGGACACCCGCUUUAAUAGUGGCUUCAGAUGAGGCACCUUGUGACAGAGGAGCUCUUCCCCUGCAGCAACCUUGAAGAUGUUGUGGAAGACAAUAGCCAUUCUUACUUCACUCUGAGGAUCACGAUGGCGUGCAAGGGUGUGCCAAGCACAUUGCUAUCUUUGGCCAUUCUCUCUCACAUUAGUACACCUGGAUGUGAAUGGCACGUUAUCUAUGUAAGCAGUGAUGGUCUCUAUCUGGUGGUAGAAAUGACAGAAUUACACACAAUCAGGACAGCUGAGAUUCCAUUUACUAGCUCAGUAAUCAGAGAAUAUGUAUGACAUCCCAGCAAAAAAUGUUGAACAUGUUCAGAUUUCAUCAUAUCAGCACCACAGUAUCAGUCUUACUGGGAGGUGCUCGCAUUCAGUUCCUGGCUACUGAAGAAAUUUUGCAGGAGUUCCAGAUAACUUACUUGUCCCAUAAUAAUGAAAACUAUUACAAUUAUGCUAAAGAAGAAUACUUAAUAACACAGUAAAAAUGUUUAUGAUGUCUUUUAAUUUCUAAAGCAUGUUAUAAAAGUAUUACAGUAUGAUCUCAUAUUUGUAAGUAAAAUAUAUAUUAAUUCAUUUAGCAAAUAAAUAUUAAGCCCCUACUAUGCACAUACCAAUAUAGAUAUUGGUAUUUGUGUGGGUGUGUGUUACAGCAGAUUUUAAUUUUCUUAUUUUGUAUUUUCUGAUUUAUCUACAAUGAAUUUGUAUUAAUUUGCUAACAAAACAUCACUAUUAAAAUAAAUUUUUUUUGAAUUAUAAGAAAAGGCUAACAUCAUAACAAUAAGGUUGUAUAGAAUAAACUGACAACACAGAAGUUAUUUUGGCCCUGUGUUCCACAGUGACUCACCAAAUAUACCCUGCACUGUUUAUUUUAUUUUUUUCUAUUUCACUAUUGAAAUGAACAGAUGCAUUUCACGUCACAUGGAUCUCGUGGAAACAUGCCAAACAUUUUCUUAGCAACCAAACUCCUGUCUUCUGCACUGUGCAUGAUUAACUAAAACAGCCUGUUGACGGCUUAAAAUAAACCUGCCUUUUCCAUUUAGCAUUUUAUCAAAUGAAUAUAAUUUCAUUUGCUGAUGAAUUUAGUUCAGCUUCAAGAGAAUUUUUCUUUUCUUCAUGGGGAGGCUGAAGAAUCAGAACUGUCAUACCAAAGAAUGAAAAGCAAGCCUAGGGAGAACAAGACAGUCUGAUGUUUACAUGGGGUUAACUUAUUUGAUCAGUGAAAUCAGAAAAGGAUCAUUCUGCAUUCGUGGACUACUCUCAUUGACACACUCGCUUACCCAUCUGAAAACAGCAACACAGUCUGGGUUCCUGAUUUGUAUCUGUUACCCUUCAUGGAAAUGGCUGGUGAAGCAAAACUAUGUGUGUAAAACUGCAUCUGCCACAGGCUGCUUGUCCACAAAAGCAGCAAAGCAUCUCUAUGGAAUACCUCCGUAUGGAUCUGUAAAGAAGAGUCCCACUUCAGUCAAAGACAGUAGAUUAUGAGGUAAGAUAACACGUGUAGUUUUUAAGAUUCCAUACUGACAAGCUUCUGUUGUUUUAAAAAAAAGUUUUGGGUGUUGAUACAGAAAUUAAUGCUAAAUAGAUAAUGAUCUCCCUCUAAUGACAUGCUUCAUCAUGUUACUUAUUCUCUUCUCUCAAAAAUACACGAUGUCAUUUAAUCUUCACAAUAAUCUUGUAAGAUAGGAUCAGCUCUAUUUCACUUCUGGAAGAUGUUAAGAAAAGUUAAUUAUUUGACAAAAGUUGUAAUUAGCAAUUGGCAAACACUCCAACCCAACUUCUGACUCCAAAGUCAGUGUUUUUACUAUUCUACUCUGGCUGCUGAGUUCUAAUUUUUAUUUUGUCUUAGAUGAGGUAGAUAGAAUAUAAUCACUUAUAUAUGGAUAUGUAUCUCAAAAAUGUAGCAUUUAGUAUGGAAAAUACAUAUUUGGGUCUCUAAGUCUUUCUAUGAAUUCUAAAAUGUAGAUGUCAUAUCCAUCUUACCUACUGUAGCUGAUAAAUCGUUCACCCUUUAAUAAUCAAUGAACUUCACAGUGCAACCCCAUCAUAUCUUAUUAGAGAAAUGCCUCGUUCCUGGGAAUAAGGAGUGCUGAACAAGUAACCAACUUUUAAUGUUUAUUCCCUAUUAUUUUUAUUCCAUAUUAUUUUUUGAUUAAAAUUUUUAAUAAAAAAAGAAUAUUUUUUGUAUGUCAAAAAUUCCUUCAUCAGGGGAAACAUGCCUCCUCCAUUCCACAAAAAUCCUGUUCAUUCCAUGAAGUAGGUAAGAGUAGGGAUCCAUCCUUUCCCUGCACAAGACCACCAACCUUAAUGCUGAGCACACAGCAUUCCUUGGGCCAAUCAGACUUCUGCCAGACUAGACUUUCUUUUUGCAGGGGGUGGGAGAAGGGGCAUGCCAGAUGAAGGAAUGAUGUGGGUUCAAGGCUACCAACUGUAACAACUGCAAUAUUAUCAAAUGUAAAGUUUCUCUGAAAAUGAGACCCAGCAGUGGACAAAGUAAGUACUAUUAUUCGAACCUCCAGAUCCAACCACACAUUAUUAAGCUUUCUGGUUUUGAGACAAAAGUAAUUUCCUUAUUUUGCUUAAGCUUGUUUGAUUUGGGUUUCUGUUACCACUUAAAGAGUCUAGGCUGGGCACAGUGGCUCAUGCCUGUAAUCCCAGUACUUUGGGAGGCCGAGGCAGGUGGAUCACCUGAGGUCAGGAGACGGAGACCAGCCUGGCCAACAUGGUGAAACCC